rnacentral:lncRNA from 13 species
UGUGAGCUUUUCCACUUACGGACCACCCACUUCUGUUUCCUGUAGAACUUUGUUUAUUGGAAUUGCAGGAUUCACUUGGAAGACACAGAAAGCAGAUUCUUCCUCUUCACCCACCACCACGAGACUCUUUCUUGGAGCCAGGCUGGGAGAACCCACUGAUUUCACCAGUGAGCUGAUUUCCUGUGAGCUGGAGAGUUUCCCUGAACAAGUCCUCUUCUCAUCUGCCACCAUGUGAGAUGUACCUUUCACCUUCUGCCAUGAUUGCGAGGCCUCCCCAGCCACGUGGAACUGUGAGCCGCUUAAAACUCUUUCUUUUGUAAAUUGCCCAGUCUCAAGUAUUUCUUUAUCAACAGCAUGAAAACAGACUAAUAAUAAAGUGAAUUCUGUGUUGUAAAUUUCA